AUGCUCUCUUGGAGCACAUGAGCUAAACCUGGGAUGACACGAGAAGAUUAGCAUCGUCCCCAUACAAGGAUGUCAUGCAAAUUGGAGAAGCAUUCCAUUCUUUA